GGGAGGGAAGACACAGCAAAGACUGCAAUGUCCUUGACAAGGAUGAAAGUGGCCCUCGGCCUGACAAUAUACAUACAGUUAAGGCACAGCCACCUACUUUGAAGCAUAGCUUUUAU
rnacentral:ncRNA from 1 species